GAUGAAGAACGUAGCGAAAUGCGAUAAGUAAUGUGAAUUGCAGAAUUCAGUGAAUCAUCGAAUCUUUGAACGCACAUUGCGCCCCCUGGUAUUCCGGGGGGGAUGCCUGUCCGAGCGUCAUUACAACCCUCAAGCUCAGCUUGGUGUUGGGCCCCGCCGCCCCGGCGGGCCCUAAAGUCAGUGGCGGUGCCGUCCGGCUCCGAGCGUAGUAAUUCUUCUCGCUCUGGAGGUCCGGUCGUGUGCUCGCCAGCAACCCCCAAUUUUUUUCAGGUUGACCUCGGAUCAGGUAGGGAUACCCGCUGAACUUAAGCAUAUCAAUAAGCGGAGGA
rnacentral:misc_RNA from 1 species